UUUAGUUGAUUAUUUCAUUAUAACAAGGGAAAAUAUCGUGAAGUAGUUUUUAUUAGUAAUAAGGAAUUAUUGACUUUAAACGAGCUCUUAUAUUUACUGAAACGUUCCUUGUAAAUUAUUUUUGUCUCAUUUUACUCGGAUAUUUGCGCCAUGUUGACGUAACAUUUAGUGUUUUGCAGUGUUCCUCCUCGUCCUGCUGCCUUCAGGCGCUGUGGGUGAAAACGUGAGCCGGUCCCGUCCGUUGGUCUCACCUGCUGCCUCUGAAGGACAGUAAACUUUGCCACAGUAGAAAAUGCCAGAGCGAAUAUUUCUCUUUGCUUUUCUCUCGCCACUCCUCAGUCGCUCAGGGAGGUCGACUAUUCAUCCUCGUCUGUUUGCUCUUUGUUUCAGAGCCGCCGUGUUUUUCCACUGAGCGACGUUUUGGAGGAAACUCCCUCCUCAGAAGUUGACUUUGUGCAACCGUACGACCCGUCUUCGUGCCAGAAGUCCCAUAAUUCAUCAGCUGCUCUGCGCUUCGUCGCUUGGCUCCGCCCACUCCUCUGCAGCCGCACCUUUCAGUUCUGCUUUACAUCCACCUGCAUCCAUCAAGCUCAUUUCAUUUUGGAUCAGAUCAAGAUUCAUAACUAUACAACUGUACAGCUUUGAAAAGCAUUAGUGGAGCCUCCUGCACAACCAGCCAGAAUGCAGCAAGUGGUUUCUGGAUGGUCACAGCUUCAGACGGAGGGUAAACAAAUUCCUAACUAACGAGGAGGAAGAGGAGGAAGAGGAGGAGGCCGGCCUUCAUCCCUCGGCCCUCCACCUUCCAGACUCAGGUUUUUCUCACGCUCACAUUUCAUCGUCCCGUCUGUCUCCCUGAACAAAGACUCAACGUGAGCUGCUGCCUUCAGGUUUGGGAGCGGGCGGCCGCCGGACGCCCCGCGGCGCCGGUUCCCUGCCUGACGCCUCUGCUGUCACUCCAACAUGUCGGCUUCUUCUCAUCACCUGAGGGAGGAUCUGGGCGGACGCAGCGGCUUCCUCUGACCCGACGAGCCCAGAACCUUCCUGUGAAAACACCGAGGCGACGCCACAAACAGACGGAAGCAGCUCAGCUCAGGAAAACACAAAUAUUAUAGAGAACAAAACCUGAAUUCAGUGUUUGAAUGAUCUCAGUAGAGAAGGAUAAAGAAAUACAUUUAUUCUUACAACUUUCUUUAAAACAAGAUGAAAACUCAACAUU